GCCCAGCUAGCUUAAUCGGCAAAGCACUAGACUUUUUCUCGGGGUCGUGGGUUCAAGCCCUACGUUGGGUG